rnacentral:tRNA from 1 species
UGGCGCAGCCCGGUUAGCGCACCGGUCUGGGGGACCGGGGGUCGGAGGUUCGAAUCCUCU